UAGUAGUACAGGUCAGUAGUACAGGUCAGUAGUAGUAGUACCGGUCAGUAGUACAGGUCAGUAGUGGUAGUAGUACAGGUCAGUAGUAGUACAGGUCAGUAGUACAGGUCAGUAGUACAGGUCAGUAGUGGUAGUACAGGUCAGUAGUAGUAGUACAGGUCAGUAGUGGUAGUACAGGUCAGUAGUAGUAGUACCGGUCAGUAGUACAGGUCAGUAGUACAGGUCAGUAGUGGUAGUACAGGUCAGUAGUACAGGUCAGUAGUAGUGGUAGUACAGGUCAGUAGUACAGGUCAGUAGUGGUAGUACAGGUCAGUAGUAGUAGUACAGGUCAGUAGUAGUAGUACAGGUCAGUAGUACAGGUCAGUAGUGGUAGUACAGGUCAGUAGUACAGGUCAGUAGUAG